GGGGACACCCAAGGGUGCAGGGUUUAUACUGCCAGGGGGCAGGGGCACCCAUGGGUGCAGGGUUUGUGAUGCCAGGGGUCAGGGUUUGUAAUGCCAGGGGUGAGGGACACCCAUGGGUGCAGGGUAGGCAAUGCUGAAGGUCAAGAACACCCACGGGAGCAGGGUUUGCAAUGCCAGGGGCCACCCAUGGGUGCAGGGUUUGUAAUGCCAGGGGUCAGGGUUUGUAAUGCCAGGGGACACCCGUGGGUGCAGGUUGGGAACUGCCAGGGGUCGGGGGCACCCGUGGGUGCAGGGUGUGCAAUGGCAGGGGUCAGGGUUUGUAAUGCCAGGGGACACCCAAGGGUGCAGGGUUUGUAAUGCCAGGGGUCAGGGGCACCCAUAGGUGCAGGGUUUGUGAUGCCAGGGGACACCCAAGGGUGCAGGUUGGGAACUGCCAGGGGUGAGGGGCAGCCGUGGGUGCAGGGUGUGCAAUGGCAGGGGUCAGGGUUUGUAAUGCCAGGGGACACCCAAGGGUGCAGGGUUUAUACUGCCAGGGGUCAGGGGCACCCAUGGGUGCAGGGUUUGUGAUGCCAGGGGUCAGGGUUUGUAAUGCCAGGGGACACCCAAGGGUGCAGGUUGGGAACUGCCAGGGGUGAGGGGCACCCGUGGGUGCAGGGUGGGCAACAGCAGGGGUCAGGGGUGCCCGUGGGUGCAGGGUGGGCAAUGCUGAAGGUCAAGAACACCCAUGGGAGCAGGGUUUGUAACGCCAGGGGCCAGGAGCACCCACGGGAGCAGGGUUUGCAAUGCCAGGGGCCACCCGUGGGUGCAGGGCGGGCACUGCCGGGGUCCGGGAGCACCCAUGGGUGCGGGCUCACCCUCGGUGCAGCGGCACUCGUAGCCGUUGGGCCGGUCGAUGCACUUGGCGCCGUUCUGGCAGGGGGUGCUGGCGCACUCGUCCAUGUCCGUCUGGCACGUGGGGCCCGAGAAGCCGGGGGGGCAGGUGCAGAUGGCGCGGCCGUUGACGGGGUUGGUGUCGCAGACGGCGUCCUCGUGGCACGGGUUGCUGACGCAGGCAUCGUCCAGGUGGCACAGCAGCCCUACAAAAGGGGUGGGGGGCGCGGGGGGGGGACACCCCACAAUGGGAACUCCCCCCCCACACGCACAUUGGGUGCCCACCCCCAGCCAGGGUGCCCGUGGGGUGAUGGCCAAGCCGUGCCAAAGGCACCCAACGUGAGCCAGAGGCACCCCGAGGUGCUCGACCCGUGCCGUGGUGCUUCUGGGGGUGCCCACCCCAUAACGGGGUGCCCACGGGGUGAUGCCCACCCCAUGCCAUUGAUACCCAACCCGCACCAGGACCACCCUAAGGUGCCCAACCCCGUGCCAUUGACACCCAACCUAUGCCAAAAACAACCCCAAGGUGCCCAACUCCAUGCCACGAUGCUUCUGGGGGUGCCCAUGGGGUGAUGCCCACCCUGUACCGUUGACACCCAACCAGUGCCAAAGCCACCCAUAGGUGCCCAGCCCCAUGUCAUGAUGCUUCUGGGGGUGCCCACCCCAUGCCAUUGACACCCAACCCGCACCAGGACCACCCCAAGGCACCCAACCCCAUGCCACUACCACCCAAACCACCCCAAGGCACGCACCCCAUUACACCAUUCCUCUCUGGGUGCCCACCCCAUAACUGGGUGCCCUUGGGGUGAAGCCCACCCCAUGAAAGCACCACCCAACCCACACCAGGACCACCCAACCCACACCAGGACCACCCCAAGGC
rnacentral:lncRNA from 1 species